rnacentral:rRNA from 1 species
AAUCAACGCUGGCGGCGUGCCUAACACAUGCAAGUCGAACGCGAGAGGGGGCUUCGGCCCCGAUUGAGUGGCGAACGGGUGAGUAACGCGUGGGUGACCUACCUUCGAGUGGGGGAGUAACGUCCCGAACGGGACGCUAAUACCGCAUAACAUCCUGCUUUUGUAAUGGGUGGAGAUCAAAGCCGGGGAUCGCAAGACCUGGCGCUUGAUGAGGGGCCCGCGUCUGAUUAGCUAGUUGGNGAGGUAAC